rnacentral:pre_miRNA from 1 species
UUAACUCAAAUUUGUAUGCAGUUGGAACGUUUGCCUACGUUUGCCGCUAGGGGCACUGUUACAACUGCUGUUAGCUUUUACGCUA